GUCCAGUUUGCGGCGGACCAGAGCCAAAAGCCUCCAAAGGCCAAGGCAGCAGCCGGCCGGUGGCGGGUCGUCAUGAUCGCCAGGCCGGCUGC
rnacentral:sRNA from 1 species